rnacentral:tRNA from 1 species
GGAGAGGUGUCCGAGUGGUCUAAGGAGCACGCCUGGAGAGCGUGUAUCGGGGUAACUCGAUCGUGGGUUCGAAUCCCACCCUCUCCGCCA